rnacentral:rRNA from 1 species
UACAGAGGGUGCGAGCGUUGUUCGGAAUUACUGGGCGUAAAGCGCGCGCAGGCGGCUCUUUAAGUCUGUCGGUCAUAUGCCGGGGCUCAACCCCGAGCGUGCCGGGGAUACUGGAUGGCUUGAGGUUGGGAGAGGGAUGCGGAAUUCCAGGUGUAGCGGUGAAAUGCGUAGAUAUCUGGAGGAACACCGGUGGCGAAGGCGGCAUCCUGGACCAAUUCUGACGCUGAGUGAGCGAAAGCCAGGGGAGCAAACGGG